AUUGAACGCUGGCGGCAUGCCUUACACAUGCAAGUCGAACGGUAACAGGUCUUUCGGGAUGCUGACGAGUGGCGAACGGGUGAGUAAUACAUCGGAACGUGCCUAGUAGUGGGGGAUAACUACUUGAAAGAGUGGCUAAUACCGCAUGAGAUCUAUGGAUGAAAGCAGGGGACCUUUGGGCCUUGUGCUACUAGAGCGGCCGAUGGCAGAUUAGGUAGUUGGUGGGAUAAAUGCUUACCAAGCCUACGAUCUGUAGCUGGUCUGAGAGGACGAUCAGCCACACGGGGACUGAGACACGGCCCAGACUCCGACGGGAGGCAGCAGUGGGGAAUUUUGGACAAUGGGCGCAAGCCUGAUCCAGCAAUGCCGCGUGCAGGAUGAAGGCCUUCGGGUUGUAAACUGCUUUUGUACGGAACGAAAAGUCUUGGGUUAAUACCCUGGGAUCAUGACGGUACCGGAAGAAUAAGCACCGGCUAACUACGUG
rnacentral:rRNA from 1 species